UACGUAGGGGGCAAGCGUUGUCCGGAAUUAUUGGGCGUAAAGAGCGUGUAGGCGGCCAGAUAAGUCCGCUGUGAAAUCUCGAGGCUCAACUUCGAGCUGUCGGUGGAAACUAUCUAGCUAGAGUCCGGAGGAGGAGAAUGGAAUUCCUGGUGUAGCGGUGAAAUGCGCAGAUAUCAGGAAGAACACCCGUGGCGAAGGCGGUUCUCUGGGACGGUACUGACGCUGAGACGCGAAAGCGUGGGGAGCGAACAGG
rnacentral:rRNA from 1 species